rnacentral:tRNA from 2 species
GGGCCGGUAGCUCAGUUCGGCAGAGCGUCUGGCUUUUAUCACCAGACGGUCGGGGGUUCAAGUCCCUCCCGGCCCG